AACGAACGCUGGCGGCAUGCCUAACACAUGCAAGUCGAACGAGACCUUCGGGUCUAGUGGCGCACGGGUGCGUAACACGUGGGAAUCUGCCCUUUGCUUCGGAAUAACAGUUAGAAAUGACUGCUAAUACCGGAUGAUGUCGAACGACCAAAGAUUUAUCGGCAAAGGAUGAGCCCGCGUAGGAUUAGGUAGUUGGUGGGGUAAAGGCCUACCAAGCCGACGAUCCUUAGCUGGUCUGAGAGGAUGAUCAGCCACACUGGGACUGAGACACGGCCCAGACUCCGACGGGAGGCAGCAGUGGGGAAUAUUGGACAAUGGGCGAAAGCCUGAUCCAGCAAUGCCGCGGGAGUGAUGAAGGCCUUAGGGUUGUAAAGCUCUUUUACCAGGGAUGAUAAUGACAGUACCUGGAGAAUAAGCUCCGGCUAACUCCGUG
rnacentral:rRNA from 1 species